rnacentral:rRNA from 1 species
CUGCCAGUAGUCAUAUGCGUUGUCUAA